rnacentral:tRNA from 2 species
GGGCCCCUAGCUCAGCUGGUUAGAGCAAGCGACUCAUAAUCGCUUGGCCGUGGGUUCGAGUCCCACGGGGCCCACCA